rnacentral:tRNA from 1 species
GAGUUUGUAGCUCAGCAGAAGAGCGCUCGCCUACCAUGUGUGGAGUACUGGGUUCGUUUCCCAGAACCACA